GACACCUAAGCUCCAUUGGCUCCAUGGCAAGUCAGCUCACUGCUGAGCCCAAGGGAGGACCCUGAAGGUGGUCACAGAACAAAGACAGGCAGAUGGGCAGGGCUGAGCUCCUGCCAGCCAGGCAUGCGAAGGUGUCUGCGAUGGAGACAGCUGUGUAACCUUGGACAAGUCACUUAACCUCCAAGACUCACUUUCCUCCUUCAUCAAGUGCUGUGUAAAGAAUGCAGGAGAGUGAUUUAAGCAAAGCCCCCUAACUGCCUGGCGUCUAGUAAGUACACAGGCAAUGCAUACACAAGGAAGGAAAUGGCAGGCUGUUCAUAUGCAGCAAGAUCCACACUUGGCCAAACCUGGGGUGGCAGAGAUGGACAUGGAAUCGAGGGCAGAAGAUCUGGGUUUGAGUCCAGCAGUGCUUUAGGCUGCAUCUUGGGGCUUCUCUGAGGACUCCUGUUUCCACCAAUAUCUACCUGUUGUGGUCCUCACUUUCACAGCCACAUGAAAAUGGACGUUUUGACAAUGGCUCACAGAUUCCUGGAGAUGUCUGGGAGGAAGCAGGAAGAAGCAAGAAGUCAUCAAAACUUGAAAAACC
rnacentral:sRNA from 1 species